rnacentral:rRNA from 1 species
AUGGAGAGUAGGCGAGGAGGAGGAGGGCCGGCAGCGGCCGCAGCGGCGGCGGGCGACCCGCGCGGGCCGAUGCCGGGUUUCGGGGCUCCUCAGCACACCAUCCCAACAAAUGUGAACGUCAUGCAGCCUUCUCGAGUUGCUGAUUUGGGGGCGCUCGCCCACUCUGCUGGAUUCAGAAUAGAAGAUCUCGCUAAUUUCAGUACAAAUAAUUUAUUCAAUCUGAAGCCAAAUACACAUGCAUAUACCAGUGACCCCCUUCAGUUUGGAAAUUACGGAAAGUCCAUUUCUCCGACUGAUCUAGCUACUACGGCGGCGGCAGCAGCAGCGGUAACAGCAGUUGAUCCUCAGGCCCUACUACAGCAAAAGGGAGUGCAACCAAAUCUAGUAGCUUUAAGAACUCAUAACAAUGAUAACUGGGGAGAGUCAAGUAUGGCUGAUACAAGUCCUAGGACUGAUACAUCAACGGAUCCGGAUAUAGACAUUGAUGAACGCAACCAAAUGUUUGAACAAGGACAGCUUGCUGCCCCCACAGCUUCUGAUUCUAGCGACAAAUCAAGGGACAAAUUAGAUCAUAAGUCACUUCGCCGUCUUGCCCAAAACCGUGAAGCUGCUAGGAAAAGCCGUUUGAGAAAGAAGGCAUAUAUCCAAAACCUGGAGAGUAGUAGAUUGAAACUUACUCAACUAGAGCAAGAGCUUCAGCGUGCUCGUCAACAGGGCAUCUUCAUUUCAUCUUCAGGGGAUCAGUCUCAGUCAGCGAGUGGAAAUGGAGCUGUGGCAUUUGACAUGGAGUAUGCCCGAUGGUUGGAGGAACAUAACAAGCAUAUAAAUGAGUUGAGGGCUGCAGCCAAUGCACAUGCUGGCGAUGAUGAUCUUCGGAAAAUUGUUGAUAGCAUCAUGUCGCAGUAUGAUGAAUUUUUCAGGCUCAAGGGUGUAGCAGCCAAAGCAGAUGUUUUCCAUGUGCUGUCGGGAAUGUGGAAGACCCCUGCUGAGAGGUGCUUCAUGUGGUUAGGUGGCUUCAGAUCAUCCGAGCUCCUUAAGUUACUGGCAGGUCAACUAGAACCUCUUACUGAGCAGCAGCUUACUGGCAUAUGCAACCUGCAACAGUCUUCUCAACAAGCUGAGGAUGCUCUUUCUCAAGGGAUGGAGGCAUUACAACAGUCACUUGCAGAAACCCUAGCAUCUGGAUCCCUGGGCCCCGCAGGAUCUUCCGGUAAUGUUGCAAGCUACAUGGGGCAGAUGGCAAUGGCCAUGGGAAAACUUGGCACCCUAGAAAACUUCCUCCGACAGGCUGAUAAUCUGCGGCUCCAAACCCUUCAGCAGAUGCAACGCAUAUUAACCACUCGCCAGUCUGCACGAGCUCUGCUUGCGAUAAGCGACUACUUCUCUCGGCUACGCGCUUUGAGUUCACUUUGGCUUGCCCGUCCACGGGAAUAA